GUUCAUGAUUUUAAUAUGAAGCAAUUUUAUCAAAAACUCUAACUUGAAAAGCUUUGUACAAUUUGGAUAGAGUAGCUCUCGUGCAUCCCUUAUAAGCUUUGCAAACUGUUCAAAAGUUCUUUCUACCUCAAGCCGAAUAUUAUGUUCAUGAUCAGAAUUACUUUCAGAUGUAGUAGUACUCAUGCAUACAUUUGAACAAGAACCUUGAUGUAAAUCAUCUAACAAUUUUUCUAUACCAC
rnacentral:lncRNA from 1 species